GGAGCCCAGAGCCUGAAUCAGCAUGUGUGUUAGUGGAAGCGUCUGGAAAGGCGCGCGAUACAGGGUGACAGCCCCGUACACAAAAGCGCAUGUGUUGUGAGCUCGAUGAGUAGGGCGGGACACGUGGUAUCCUGUCUGAAUAUGGGGGGACCAUCCUCCAAGGCUAAAUACUCCUGACUGACCGAUAGUGAACCAGUACCGUGAGGGAAAGGCGAAAAGAACCCCGGCGAGGGGAGUGAAAAAGAACCUGAAACCGUGUACGUACAAGCAGUGGGAGCACCCUUCGGGGUGUGACUGCGUACCUUUUGUAUAAUGGGUCAGCGACUUAUAUUCUGUAGCAAGGUUAACCGAAUAGGGGAGCCGGAGGGAAACCGAGUCUUAACCGGGCGUUAAGUUGCAGGGUAUAGACCCGAAACCCGGUGAUCUAGCCAUGGGCAGGUUGAAGGUUGGGUAACACUAACUGGAGGACCGAACCGACUAAUGUUGAAAAAUUAGCGGAUGACCUGUGGCUGGGGGUGAAAGGCCAAUCAAACCGGGAGAUAGCUGGUUCUCCCCGAAAGCUAUUUAGGUAGCGCCUCGUGAAUUCAUCUCCGGGGGUAGAGCACUGUUUCGGCUAGGGGGCCAUCCCGGCUUACCAACCCGAUGCAAACUGCGAAUACCGGAGAAUGUUAUCACGGGAGACACACGGCGGGUGCUAACGUCCGUCGUGAAGAGGGAAACAACCCAGACCGCCAGCUAAGGUCCCAAAGUCAUGGUUAAGUGGGAAACGAUGUGGGAAGGCCCAGACAGCCAGGAUGUUGGCUUAGAAGCAGCCAUCAUUUAAAGAAAGCGUAAUAGCUCACUGGUCGAGUCGGCCUGCGCGGAAGAUGUAACGGGGCUAAACCAUGCACCGAAGCUGCGGCAGCGA
rnacentral:rRNA from 1 species